rnacentral:rRNA from 1 species
CCUACGGGAGGCAGCAGUAGGGAAUAUUGGACAAUGGGGGAAACCCUGAUCCAGCAAUGCAGCGUGAGUGACGAAGGCCUUAGGGUUGUAAAACUCUUUCAUCGGUGAGGAUAAUGACAGUAGCCGAAGAAGAAGGACCGGCUAAUUCCGUGCCAGCAGCCGCGGUAAUACGGAAGGUCCUAGCGUUGUUCGGAAUUACUGGGCGUAAAGCGCAUGUAGGCGGAACAAAAAGUUAGAAGUGAAAUCCCUGGGCUCAACCUAGGAAUUGCUUUUAAAACUUUUGUUCUGGAAUUCAGGAGAGGAAAAUGGAAUUUCCAGUGUAGAGGUGAAAUUCGUAGAUAUUGGAAGGGACACCAGUGGCGAAGGCGAUUUUCUGGACUGAUAUUGACGCUGAGAUGCGAAGGCAUGGGUAGCAAACGGGAUUAGAUACCCCGGUAGUCCAUGCAGUAAACGGUGGGUGCUAGUCGUCGGACUUUUGUUCGGUGUCGUAGCUAACGCGUUAAGCACCCCGCCUGGGGAGUACGGUCGCAAGAUUAAAACUCAAAUGAAUUGACGG